GGCCCUCUGGGGAGGUCUCGGCCUCUGCCACCUCACGCCUCGUUUGCUCCUACAGAUACCGCGUGGUGGUGGAGGGUGAGCGGGGCAACCGGCCCCACAUCUACUGUCUGGAGCAGUUGCUGCAGGAGGCGAUCAUCGAUGUGAGGCCAGCCUCCACUCGCUUCUUGCCACAAGGGACCAGGAUUGCAGCCUACUGGAGCCAGCAGUACCGCUGUCUCUACCCAGGCACUGUGGUCCGAGGUGAGAUGCCUCCUCCCCAGCUCUCCCCUGCCGCCUAACAUCUCAGUAUGGACUUGUUUGGCUACUAAAACCCAACUCUAACUGGCUUAAGAAUAAAGACUUGUGGGCUCACAUAACUGAAAACUGUAUGGCCUUCAGGCAUGAUUGGAUCCAGGCACCAUUUAAACGAUGUCAUCAG
rnacentral:lncRNA from 10 species